rnacentral:rRNA from 1 species
UAAUACUAGCGGUCCAAGUCGCAGCCAUUUUUAUUGGGUCUAAAACAUCCGUAGCUUGCUUGAUAAGUUUCUUGUGAAAUUUUAUGUCUCAAACAUAGAGCGUGCAAGAAGUACUGUCAAGCUAGAGACUGGUAGACGUAAGAAGUACGUUCAGAGUAGCGGUAAAAUGUGUUAAUCCUGAACGGACUUACAAAGCGAAGGCAUCUUACGAGAACAGUUCUGACAGUAAGGGAUGAAGGCCAGGGGCGCAAAACGGAUUAGAUACCCGUGUAGUCCUAGCAGUAAACACUGCACACUAAACAUUAGUACCUCUUCGAGAGGUAUUGGUGCUGAAGGGAAGCCGAAGAGUGUGCUACCUGGGAAGUAUAGUCGCAAGGCCG